rnacentral:lncRNA from 1 species
GUAGUGUUUGUAAAACGGGAUUGUCUCGGGGCUUAGGGAGGAUACAACCCCCUGCCUGUUGCCUCCCAGAUAAAAAGGAGCUGCAAGCCAUUUUACAGAACAAAAAAGCAAGCUGGUGAUUGUGUAGGAGUUCUUCUGAAGUAGUCAGACUGGAAUCCUUGUCUUCUGUUAUAUGUUGAUGGAGCUUGUUCAGCCCUCUUGAAAAAUGAGAAGAUGAAAACAAAGCAUGAGUACUGGCAUACCUAAAAACUAGUCCACCCACCACAUAGGUAUGGAGUAAGAAGUGAGCAAUAAUUAUUCAUGUGAGUGCUCUGGAAGCCGGUUGUCUUGCUAGCCUGAAAAAGAAGCUUUUCAGGAAAGAACUUUGGCACUACAACGUGUAUUAGAGAAUUAUCCAGUGAGCAAAGGACCAUGCAUAUUGAGAUAAAACAAAGAAGAAACAGGUCAGUUCUUUUUGGAGAAAUUCUGUGAAUAAGCUGUAUCCUUCUCUUGAGAAGUGACUGCCUUCUAAGGUAGCAUCUAGCAGUCAAGAGCCUGGCCUAAUCUCUUCCUUCGCCAUAUAGAAACAGCUGAUGUGUUCGUAAUCUGAUUCAA